AUUGAACGCUGGCGGCAGGCCUAACACAUGCAAGUCGAGCGAGCGGCGGACGGGUGAGUAAUGCCUGGGAAUUGCCCAGUCGAGGGGGAUAACAGUUGGAAACGACUGCUAAUACCGUAUACGAUUGGAUUGCCCAGGUGGGAUUAGCUAGUUGGUGAGGUAAUGGCUCACCAAGGCGACGAUCCCUAUCUGGUCUGAGAGGGUGAUUAGCCUCACGGGAACUGAGAACCGGUGCAGACUCCUACGUGAGGGAGCAGGGGGGAAUAUUGCACAAUGGGGGAAACCCUGAUGCAGCCAUGCCGGGUGUGUGAAGAAGGCCUUCGGGUUGUAAAGCACUUGCAGCGAGGAGGCGUUACUCGCAGAAGAAGCACCGGCUAACUCCGUGCCAGCCGCCGCGGUAAUUC
rnacentral:rRNA from 1 species